rnacentral:rRNA from 1 species
UACGAAGGGGGCUAGCGUUGCUCGGAAUCACUGGGCGUAAAGCGCACGUAGGCGGCUUUUUAAGUCGGGGGUGAAAUCCUGGAGCUCAACUCCAGAACUGCCUUUGAUACUGGGAAGCUUGAGUCCGGAAGAGGUGAGUGGAACUCCGAGUGUAGAGGUGAAAUUCGUAGAUAUUCGGAGGAACACCAGUGGCGAAGGCGGCUCACUGGUCCAUUACUGACGCUGAGGUGCGAAAGCGUGGGGAGCAAACAGG